rnacentral:rRNA from 1 species
CCAGCCACACUGGAACUGAGACACGGUCCAGACUCCUACGGGAGGCAGCAGUAGGGAAUCUUCCGCAAUGGGCGAAAGCCUGACGGAGCAACGCCGCGUGAGUGAUGAAGGUCUUCGGAUCGUAAAACUCUGUUAUUAGGGAAGAACAAAUGUGUAAGUAACUAUGCACGUCUUGACGGUACCUAAUCAGAAAGCCACGGCUAACUACGUGCCAGCAGCCGCGGUAAUACGUAGGUGGCAAGCGUUAUCCGGAAUUAUUGGGCGUAAAGCGCGCGUAGGCGGUUUUUUAAGUCUGAUGUGAAAGCCCACGGCUCAACCGUGGAGGGUCAUUGGAAACUGGAAAACUUGAGUGCAGAAGAGGAAAGUGGAAUUCCAUGUGUAGCGGUGAAAUGCGCAGAGAUAUGGAGGAACACCAGUGGCGAAGGCGACUUUCUGGUCUGUAACUGACGCUGAUGUGCGAAAGCGUGGGGAUCAAACAGGAUUAGAUACCCUGGUAGUCCACGCCGUAAACGAUGAGUGCUAAGUGUUAGGGGGUUUCCGCCCCUUAGUGCUGCAGCUAACGCAUUAAGCACUCCGCCUGGGGAGUACGACCGCAAGGUUGAAACUCAAAGGAAUUGACGGGGGCCCGCACAAGCGGUGGAGCAUGUGGUUUAAUUCGAAGCAACGCGAAGAACCUUACCAAAUCUUGACAUCCUCUGACCCCUCUAGAGAUAGAGUUUUCCCCUUCGGGGGACAGAGUGACAGGUGGUGCAUGGUUGUCGUCAGCUCGUGUCGUGAGAUGUUGGGUUAAGUCCCGCAACGAGCGCAACCCUUGUCGUUAGUUACUACCAUUAAGUUGAGGACUCUAGCGAGACUGCCUGGGUUAACCAGGAGGAAGGUGGGGAUGACGUCAAAUCAUCAUGCCCCUUAUGUGUAGGGCUACACACGUGCUACAAUGGCUGGUACAGAGAGAUGCAAUACCGCGAGGUGGAGCCAAACUUAAAAACCAGUCUCAGUUCGGAUUGUAGGCUGAAACUCGCCUACAUGAAGCUGGAGUUACUAGUAAUCGCGAAUCAGAAUGUCGCGGUGAAUACGUUCCCGGGCCUUGUACACACCGCCCGUCACACCAUGAGAGUUG